UACGUAGGGUGCGAGCGUUGUCCGGAAUUAUUGGGCGUAAAGAGCUUGUAGGCGGUUUGUCGCGUCUGCUGUGAAAAUCCGGGGCUCAACCCCGGACUUGCAGUGGGUACGGGCAGACUGGAGUGUGGUAGGGGAGACUGGAAUUCCUGGUGUAGCGGUGAAAUGCGCAGAUAUCAGGAGGAACACCGAUGGCGAAGGGAGGUCUCUGGGCAUUAACUGACGCUGAGGAGCGAAAGCAUGGGGAGCGAACAGG
rnacentral:rRNA from 1 species